AAGGUGUGGAACGAGCACAAUCCUAGUAAGUCCUUAAAACGCUCUCAAGCAUCAAAGUGAUUCCCCAUCUUCCUGCUUGAAGUUAGAUAUUUUACUCCUAAGUUGU